rnacentral:lncRNA from 10 species
CCUAAACCUCCUGAUUAGAUCAGAAACAACAAGCCACAUCCUGCUUUAUUGGAGACUCAUCUUUCCUCAGGUCCAUCAUUUCCUCCGAUUUUCACUACUAUAAGGAGAAAAAAAGUCCUGAACACUUCCACGUGGUGUUUGUUACAAGCCAUUUAUGGUCGGCCAUGCUUCCUUCUCCAGCCUCAUCGUUUUCUGCUCUUCCCCUCCUCACCCCAGGGAACUGUGAACUGUCACCUGGGUCAGGCUGUGCUGCCUGUCCCCCUGGGCUUUGGACCUGCUGCUUCCUUGCUGGAAUGCUGCCUCGGCCCUCCGGCUCCCCCAACACCAGUCAUCUGGCAGGCUGCUGCUAAUAUCACUUUCUGUGGAAAGCCUUCCCAGACCUUCCUCCCUCAGAACUGGAUGGGCUGACUCUUUCACAUCAACCAAUAUAUACCCCAAUAUCACACUGAAGACUUGGUGUUGAAAUGCCUGUUUUCUUGCCCUUCUUCCCCACUCAACAGGGAGCUCACUGAGGGCAGACAUCAGGUCUUUCUCACUGGUGUAGCCCCAGCUUCUAGCCCAUUGCCUGGCUCAUAAAAGACCC